rnacentral:rRNA from 1 species
UACGGGGGGGGGCAAGCGUUGUUCGGAAUUACUGGGCGUAAAGGGCUCGUAGGCGGCCAACUAAGUCAUACGUGAAAUCCCUCGGCUUAACCGGGGAACUGCGCCUGAUACUAGAUGGCUUGAGUUCGGGAGGAGGGAUGCGGAAUUCCAGGUGUAGCGGUGAAAUGCGUAGAUAUCUGGAGGAACACCGGUGGCGAAGGCGGCAUCCUGGACCGACACUGACGCUGAGGAGCGAAAGCGUGGGGGAGCGAAACAGG